rnacentral:rRNA from 1 species
CCUACGGGUGGCAGCAGUGGGGAAUAUUGCGCAAUGGGCGAAAGCCUGACGCAGCUACGCCGCGUGAGGGAUGAAGGUCUUCGGAUCGUAAACCUCUGUCAGCAGGGAAGAACGGUCACUGUGCUAAUCAGCAGUGAAUUGACGGUACCUGCAAAGGAAGCACCGGCCAACUCCGUGCCAGCAGCCGCGGUAAUACGGAGGGUGCGAGCGUUACUCGGAAUUACUGGGCGGAAAGCGUUCGUAGGCGGUAUGUCAAGUCAAGGGUGAAAUCCCCGCGCUCAACGGGGGAACUGCCUUGGAAACUGGCAGACUGGAGUGUGUGAGAGGAUAGUGGAAUUCCAGGUGUAGGGGUGAAAUCCGUAGAUAUCUGGAGGAACAUCGGUGGCGAAGGCGACUAUCUGGCACAUAACUGACGCUGAGGAGCGAAAGCGUGGGUAGCAAACAGGAUUAGAUACCCUAGUAGUC